UACGGAGGGUGCAAGCGUUAUCCGGAAUCACUGGGUUUAAAGGGUGCGUAGGCGGAUAUUUAAGUCAGUGGUGAAAUCUUGUCGCUUAACGAUAAAAUUGCCAUUGAUACUGAAUGUCUUGAAUUGGGUUGAGGUUAGCGGAAUGUGACAUGUAGCGGUGAAAUGCAUAGAUAUGUCAUGGAACACCAAUUGCGAAGGCAGCUAGCUGGGCCUUGAUUGACGCUGAGGCACGAAAGCGUGGGUAGCGAACAGGAUUAGAUACCCUGGUAGUCCACGCCCUAAACGAUGCUAACUCGAUGUUUGGACGUAAGUUUGAGCAUCCAAGGGAAACCGAUAAGUUAGCCACCUGGGGAGUACGACCGCAAGGUUGAA
rnacentral:rRNA from 1 species